rnacentral:rRNA from 1 species
GUACCCCGAGGAAAAGAAAUCAACCGAGAUUCCCCCAGUAGCGGCGAGCGAACGGGGAGGAGCCCAGAGCCUGAAUCAGUGUGUGUGUUAGUGGAAGCGUCUGGAAAGGCGCGCGAUACAGGGUGACAGCCCCGUACACAAAAAUGCACAUACUGUGAGCUCGAUGAGUAGGGCGGGACACGUGGUAUCCUGUCUGAAUAUGGGGGGACCAUCCUCCAAGGCUAAAUACUCCUGACUGACCGAUAGUGAACCAGUACCGUGAGGGAAAGGCGAAAAGAACCCCGGCGAGGGGAGUGAAAAAGAACCUGAAACCGUGUACGUACAAGCAGUGGGAGCCUCUUUUAUGGGGUGACUGCGUACCUUUUGUAUAAUGGGUCAGCGACUUAUAUUCUGUAGCAAGGUUAACCGAAUAGGGGAGCCGAAGGGAAACCGAGUCUUAACUGGGCGUUAAGUUGCAGGGUAUAGACCCGAAACCCGGUGAUCUAGCCAUGGGCAGGUUGAAGGUUGGGUAACACUAACUGGAGGACCGAACCGACUAAUGUUGAAAAAUUAGCGGAUGACUUGUGGCUGGGGGUGAAAGGCCAAUCAAACCGGGAGAUAGCUGGUUCUCCCCGAAAGCUAUUUAGGUAGCGCCUCGUGAAUUCAUCUCCGGGGGUAGAGCACUGUUUCGGCAAGGGGGUCAUCCCGACUUACCAACCCGAUGCAAACUGCGAAUACCGGAGAAUGUUAUCACGGGAGACACACGGCGGGUGCUAACGUCCGUCGUGAAGAGGGAAACAACCCAGACCGCCAGCUAAGGUCCCAAAGUCAUGGUUAAGUGGGAAACGAUGUGGGAAGGCCCAGACAGCCAGGAUGUUGGCUUAGAAGCAGCCAUCAUUUAAAGAAAGCGUAAUAGCUCACUGGUCGAGUCGGCCUGCGCGGAAGAUGUAACGGGGCUAAACCAUGCACCGAAGCUGCGGCAGCGACGCUUAUGCGUUGUUGGGUAGGGGAGCGUUCUGUAAGCCUGUGAAGGUGUACUGUGAGGUAUGCUGGAGGUAUCAGAAGUGCGAAUGCUGACAUAAGUAACGAUAAAGCGGGUGAAAAGCCCGCUCGCCGGAAGACCAAGGGUUCCUGUCCAACGUUAAUCGGGGCAGGGUGAGUCGACCCCUAAGGCGAGGCCGAAAGGCGUAGUCGAUGGGAAACAGGUUAAUAUUCCUGUACUUGGUGUUACUGCGAAGGGGGGACGGAGAAGGCUAUGUUGGCCGGGCGACGGUUGUCCCGGUUUAAGCGUGUAGGCUGGUUUUCCAGGCAAAUCCGGAAAAUCAAGGCUGAGGCGUGAUGACGAGGCACUACGGUGCUGAAGCAACAAAUGCCCUGCUUCCAGGAAAAGCCUCUAAGCAUCAGGUAACAUCAAAUCGUACCCCAAACCGACACAGGUGGUCAGGUAGAGAAUACCAAGGCGCUUGAGAGAACUCGGGUGAAGGAACUAGGCAAAAUGGUGCCGUAACUUCGGGAGAAGGCACGCUGAUAUGUAGGUGAAGCGACUUGCUCGUGGAGCUGAAAUCAGUCGAAGAUACCAGCUGGCUGCAACUGUUUAUUAAAAACACAGCACUGUGCAAACACGAAAGUGGACGUAUACGGUGUGACGCCUGCCCGGUGCCGGAAGGUUAAUUGAUGGGGUUAGCGGUAACGCGAAGCUCUUGAUCGAAGCCCCGGUAAACGGCGGCCGUAACUAUAACGGUCCUAAGGUAGCGAAAUUCCUUGUCGGGUAAGUUCCGACCUGCACGAAUGGCGUAAUGAUGGCCAGGCUGUCUCCACCCGAGACUCAGUGAAAUUGAACUCGCUGUGAAGAUGCAGUGUACCCGCGGCAAGACGGAAAGACCCCGUGAACCUUUACUAUAGCUUGACACUGAACAUUGAGCCUUGAUGUGUAGGAUAGGUGGGAGGCUUUGAAGUGUGG